rnacentral:misc_RNA from 1 species
CAAGCCUCGUGCUUGGUGUUGGACGGCUUGGUCGCGCGAGCGACCCCUCCUAAAGACAAUGACGGCGGCCUGCGGUUCCCCCGGUACACUGAGCUUUUUGAGCACGUAUCGGAUCAGCGCCCGGGACCCGGUCCUCUCCUUUCACUAGGAAACAUCUCAAGGUUGACCUCGGAUCAGGUAGGAAUACGCGCUGAACUUAA